rnacentral:rRNA from 1 species
UUAGAUGCGAUGUGGGGACGGAGAAGGUUAGGUCAGCCAUCUGUUGGAAUAGGUGGUUUAAGCGUGUAGGCGUGCCCCUUAGGCAAAUCCGGGGGGCUUAGCUGAGGCGUGACGACGAGGCACUACGGUGCUGAAGUGAUUAAUACCAAGCUUCCAGGAAAAGCCACUAAGCUUCAGUCUAGAGUCGACCGUACCGCAAACCGACACAGGUGGGCAGGAUGAAAAUUCUAAGGCGCUUGAGAGAACUCAGGAGAAGGAACUCGGCAAAUUGACACCGUAACUUCGGGAGAAGGUGUGCCCCGGUAGGUUGUAGAGCCUCGCGCUCGAAGGCCGUUGGGGUUGCAGUGAAAUGGUGGCUGCGACUGUUUAAUAAAAACACAGCACUCUGCAAACACGAAAGUGGACGUAUAGGGUGUGACGCCUGCCCGGUGCUGGAAGAUUAAAUGAUGGGGUGCAAGCUCUUGAUUGAAGUCCCAGUAAACGGCGGCCGUAACAAUAACGGUCCUAAGGUAGCGAAAUUCCUUGUCGGGUAAGUUCCGACCUGCACGAAUGGCGUAACGAUGGCCACACUGUCUCCUCCUGAGACUCAGCGAAGUUGAAAUGUUUGUGAAGAUGCAAUCUCCCCGCGGCAAGACGGAAAGACCCCAUGAACCUUUACUGCAGCUUUGCAUUGGACAUUGAACCGGUUUGUGUAGGAUAGGUGGGAGACUGUGAAACCGGGACGCUAGUCUCGGUGGAGUCGUCCUUGAAAUACCACCCUGAUUUGUUUGAGGUUCUAACCUGGGCCAGUGAAUCCUGGCCGGGGACCGUGCAUGGUAGGCAGUUUGACUGGGGCGGUCUCCUCCCAAAAGGUAACGGAGGAGUACGAAGGUACGCUUAGGGCGGUCGGACAUCGCCCAUAAAGUGCAAUGGCAAAAGCGUGCUUGACUGCGAGACCCACAAGUCGAGCAGGUGCGAAAGCAGGUCAUAGUGAUCCGGUGGUUCUGUAUGGAAGGGCCAUCGCUCAACGGAUAAAAGGUACUCUCUGGAUAACAGGCUGAUACCGCCCAAGAGUUCAUAUCGACGGCGGUGUUUGGCACCUUGAUGUCGGCUCAUCUCAUCCUGGGGCUGUAGCCGGUCCCAAGGGUAUGGCUGUUCGCCAUUUAAAGAGGUACGUGAGCUGGGUUUAAAACGUCGUGAGACAGUUUGGUCCCUAUCUGCCGUGGGCGCUGGAAAUUUGAAGGGGGCUGCUCCUAGUACGAGAGGACCGGAGUGGACGAACCUCUGGUGUACCGGUUAUGACGCCAGUCGUAUCGCCGGGUAGCUAUGUUCGGAAGAGAUAAACGCUGAAAGCAUCUAAGCGUGAAACUCGCCUUAAGAUAAGAUUUCCCGGAGUCUUGAACUCCUUGAAGGGUCGU